AGAACGAACGCUGGCGGCAUGCCUAACACAUGCAAGUCGAACGCUUGCCGGGCUUCGGUUCGGCAGGAGUGGCGCACGGGUGAGUAGCGCGUGGGAACCUGCCCUGUUGUGGGGGAUAACCGAGGGAAACUUCGGCUAAUACCGCAUGCGCCCCCGGGAGCGAUCCUGGGGGGAAAGAUUUAUCGCAGCAGGAGGGGCCCGCGUCGGAUUAGGUAGUUGGUAGGGUAACGGCCUACCAAGCCUUUGAUCCGUAGCUGGUCUGAGAGGAUGAUCAGCCACACUGGGACUGAGACACGGCCCAGACUCCUACGGGAGGCAGCAGUGGGGAAUAUUGGACAAUGGGCGCAAGCCUGAUCCAGCAAUGCCGCGUGAGUGAUGAAGGCCUUAGGGUUGUAAAGCUCUUUCGCCCGCGACGAUGAUGACGGUAGCGGGAGAAGAAGCCCCGGCUAACUUCGUGCCAGCAGCCGCGGUAA
rnacentral:rRNA from 1 species